rnacentral:lncRNA from 1 species
ACAGGUAAUCCACAGUAUCGGGCUCUCGAUUUGAUUUAACUUUGAUCGGUUCAUAGACUGGAUCCGAGUGUGAGGUGACCCAAAAGGACGACGAGGACGAUCACAGCGACGAGGACGAAGACAAUGGCGGGCGCGAGAGCUCGGACGUGGACGACGGUGGCAAGAACGACGACGACGAGGAUGGCGGCGGCGGCGGCGGCGGCGAUGGCGAGGAGGAAGCCGGAGGGGGCGACGAUCCAAGCUACGAGGAAGAGGAAGGAGAAGAGGACGAGGAAGAAGAAGUGGAGGAGGACGAUGGGGAUGAGCCCUACGAGGAGGAGGAAGAUGACGAGGAAGACGAAGAAGACGAGGAAGAUAACAAUGACGAAGACGAGGAGCCUCCCAAGAAGCGAAAGAAGUGAAACGGGCAAAAAGGAGUUUAGGGUUCUUCUUUUUAAGAGACAAUUUGAUUUUAGGGUUUCUUAGCGAAUAUUAUCAAGAAUAUGCUUUUAAAAAUUUUGCCCAAACCCUAAGUAAACUUUCUCUUUAGCAAGAAAAGUUGACAUUUGAC